rnacentral:rRNA from 1 species
CUACGGGUGGCAGCAGUGGGGAAUUUUGGACAAUGGGCGAAAGCCUGAUCCAGCCAUUCCGCGUGAGUGAUGAAGGCCUUCGGGUAGUAAAGCUCUUUCGGCCGGGAAGAAAUCGUGCAGGCUAAUAUCCUGCAUGGAUGACGGUACCGGACCAAGAAGCACCGGCUAACUACGUGCCAGCAGCCGCGGUAAUACGUAGGGUACGAGCGUUAAUCGGAAUUACUGGACGUAAAGCGUGCGCAGGCGGAUGUUUAAGCCAGAUGUGAAAUCCCCGGGCUUAACCUGGGAAUGGCAUUUGGAACUGGACAUCUAGGGUGUGUCAGAGGGGGGUGGAAUUCCACGUGUAGCAGUGAAAUGCGUAGAGAUGUGGAGGAACACCGAUGGCGAAGGCAGCCCCCUGGGAUAACACUGACGCUCAUGCACGAAAGCGUGGGGAGCAAACAGGAUUAGAUACCCGAGUAGUC